rnacentral:rRNA from 1 species
CGAACGCUGUAGCAUACAGAGUGGCGCACGGGUGAGUAAUGCAUGGGAACAUACCCUUCGGUACGGAACAACACCGGGAAACUGGUGCUAAUACCGUAUAAUAUCUACGGAUCAAAGAUUUAUCGCCGGGGGAUUGGCCCAUGUUGGAUUAGCUUGUUGGUGGGGUAAUGGCCUACCAAGGCGACGAUCCAUAGCUGGUCUGAGAGGAUGAUCAGCCACACUGGGACUGAGACACGGCCCAGACUCCUACGGGAGGCAGCAGUAAGGAAUAUUGGACAAUGGGGGAAACCCUGAUCCAGCCAUGCCGCGUGAAUGAAGAAGGCCUUAGGGUUGUAAAGUUCUUUUAGGGAUGACGAUAAUGACGGUAGUCCCAGAAAAAGCUCCGGCUAACUCCGUGCCAGCAGCCGCG